GAGUGUGACAGCUCUUUUAGAAUUUGUCUAUUGGGGGACCAGCAGUUAGUGUAAUGGCUAUGUCGCUGGACUCCCAU
rnacentral:snRNA from 1 species